GCGGUGAACCAGUUCAGGCGGGCGAACGGGCACCUAAUGCCGGGGUCCUGAAGCCCUGGGAACUCCAUGUGGUCUGCUGCUGCUGCUGGCGGUGCGCAGCUCAGGCCCGGCACCGGAUUUGCUAUCAAUACUAAGCUGAACAAAGUUAAAAUCUCUGCUGGAGGACGCUUGUUCAGAACUGGGAAGGAGAGAGAGAAGGCGCCUGGACGGAGAGAAGGCAGGAGAGUCUAAAGAUGUCUUCAGGACUCGAGCUACUGUUGAGGAGCCAAGCCCUUCCUGCCCAUUGCGGGGAAGUAGGGGCCUGGUUCUGUACGUUGCUGUGGUGGAGAGAAGAGUAGGAGAUGGCAGAGAGCCGGUGACAAGGGAAGUUGCCUACACCAGUGAGGACAGCAGGAAUAAUGACAACUCCUAUAGCUGAUCGCAGAGCUCUGAGACUUACUGUUUCCAGUCAGUUGCUGAAGCUGUGUUUCCUGGGACUCUUCCACCUUCUGGCCUUGUUACAGGCGGAGAGGAGGGCCACAGCGUCACGAGGUGGCCGAGGCAGUGAGGUGGCAGGAACGGCAGGUGCGUCUAAAGACGGCUGUGGUCAUGAGGUGGCAGGAACGGCAGGCACAUCUGAAAAGACAGCUGUGGUCAUGAGGUGGCAGGAACGGCAGGCACAUCUGAAAAGACAGCUGUGGUCAUGAGCGCGUCCACGUGUGGCUCCAGUAGACCUAACUGGGAGAGAGUGGCCCAUUCAGCCCAGCGGGUAUACGCUAAGCUCCCACAUUGGGAGCCCAGCUCCUGGGAGCGGCAGGUUGACGAUGGGCUACCGGAACUACACGGUCCACACUCAGCGUGGCUGUGCUGUGUCUGAUGGGGAAACAUUUCCGAUUUACUAACGAGGGCCCAGCAGCCGUUCUGCAGCACGGAGAUAUUAUCAUCAUCACUCUCCUCCUGACUGUCCUUAUUUCAAAAACGGUAGGAGAUGCAGGUCUACUUGUCCUGCUCCUUCUUAUUCAAUUGUCCCCUGUGCCAAAACUCAACAACGACCCGCACAAUGACAGAACAGUGAGAGCGCGCCAAUAUGCGGAGCUCUGUGCUCGCAAAUCCCCGCAGGCUAUCUCCCUUAGCCGGAACGCUGGCUAAUUGUGAGCCAGUUCGGAUGUGCCAGGAAAUGGGUCGCCACAAGGUCACAAAGUAAAGCGCAAAUGUGGAGUAAUACGCUGCACCUCAACAAAGGUCAAUGUAUAUAGAGUGCGUCAUCUAUUGGGAAAACGCCAGAAUUGCGGGGGGGAAAACGUUAACAAGGUUUAUUAAUAUAAUUUCAUCAAGUUCUGCGGGCCGGAUUAAAAAGCUUAACGGGCCGUAGUUUGCCCAUGCCUGAUCUAGACUGAUCAUUCCAGCCACAAGUACAAAACGAAGGGCAAUAACUGAACUCAAAGUGAAAGUGCAUGACAGCAACUAAAGCACAGUAUAGUUACAGCUCCAGGCAUGGCACAGCGUGGGUGAGCAGCUGAAUUGCAAGGGCCAAGAUGAGGUAAAUCGGGGGUGGGGGGUCAUCUUUAGCAUAUGGGAGGUCUGCUCGGGAGUCUGAUAGCAGCGGGUUAGACGUGGGAUUUGAGCCUCGUGUUGUGCGGUCACAGGUUUUUCUGUCUGGGGGAGAUAGGAAAUGAGAAUUACAAGGCUGUUUUCCUGAUGCGGCGAGUAGUGUAGACAGAGUGUAUGGAGGGGAGGCUGGUUUGUCUGUAUCCGCAGUUCUGAAGUUUCUCGCCUCUCUAAGCUGUGAUGCAUCGGGGUAGAACGCUGUCUGGUACAUCAAUAUGGAGAUAAAUUGUGUGCAGAAUUUGUUUUGUGGAGCCCCAUUUCAUGUUCUGUCUGUUCUGCAGGUGCAUUGAAGAGCUGUAGAGUCUUUUCGCUGGUGGCUGUGGCAGAGAGCUGGUGACAGAGGAAGCACCCUGGACCAUGGGAUCUCCAGCCCCAGAGGGAGAGGGCAAGAACAAUGAUGACCCCCAUAGUGGCCUCUUUGUGCCUAGAUACAGUGGUAUUCUCUGCCUUCAGGUGUCGCUAGGGGUUAAAUUGUAGACAGUGUAUCCAAAGUCUGUAAUAAACUUAAUAAAAUUGUUUCACUUAAUAAAAUUGUUGCAGCUUCUUUGAAACAUACUGAUUGGACUCACACCACAAAUGAAUCCAACAGAACUGGCCUUAAAAAAGAAAGGGCAGGGUAUUAAAUAAAUCUAUUAAUGGGAAAACUACUGGACUUGCUCUGAUACUUGAUAAAUUGGAUCAUUGCGGUUCCAUUUGCAGUGAGUUUUUUGUGCAUAGUGCCGCACUCUCAGCCUGAAAAAUCUUGGUCCAAUGAUAUAAAAAAUCAUCAUGACUGGAGACGUCCUUGGCUGCAGUUGAUAGUCAUGACACACUCUGUGCCUUAAUAUGCCCUCCACAAAGUGUUACAAAACCUUGGCCAUUAGAUCUUGUAGUUGAUCUCACCUGCCCAGUAUGCUGUGGAACUGGCUUUGCAUGCUGGGGUAGGCAUAUACUUACCUCAUGGGGGUUAAAGGUUCCUUGCUACCCUCACCUGGUUUAGUCUCUCAGCUAUGCAGAUGCAAGGUCCACAACAAAGUAGAUUGUGAGGUUGUCCCCUUGAAAGUCACUACCUUUAAUCCAGAUGAAGGGUGUCAACCAGAAACACUCCCAUUUUGCUCCACACAAGCUGCCCUGCUGAGUUCCUCCAGCAUCUCAUUGUUCCAGAUACCAGCCUCUUCCAUUUACCUGCACCCUGUGCUAUCCUG